AGCAGCCGCGGUAAUACGGAGGGUGCGAGCGUUAAGUCGGAAUUACUGGGCGUAAAGCGCAUGCAGGCGGCCUGUUAAGUCAGAUGUGAAAGCCCGGGGCUUAAACCCUCGGAAUUGCAUUUGAAACUGGCAGGCUAGAGUCUUGUAGAGGGGGUAGAAUUUCAGGUGUAGCGGUGAAAAUGCGUAGAGAUCUGAAGGAAUACCAGUGGCGAAGGCGGCCCCCUGGACAAAGACUGACGCUCAGAUGCGAAAGCGUGGGGAGCAAACAGGAUUAGAUACCCUGGUAG
rnacentral:rRNA from 1 species